ACCAUGCCUCUAAAGUGGCUGGAAGCUGCUUCAUUCUCACCAUCUGUUUCACUCCUAACAAGUCUCUUCUGAUGCCAGUUGAGGUGCUUCAUGAUGAUGUUUCCAUCCCCUCUCACCAGUGACAUUUCCUCAUCAUGCUGCACAUCACUGGUGGAGGGGAAUUACAAACAUCAUCCUUCCAUGCCUCAACUGGCAGCAGAACAGAUCUCUGUUGCUUGAUAUAGCUGCUGGUUGUUAAGACAAGAAGACAAAGAUAACUCUAAAGGUAGAAAAAAUUAUCAAGAGACACUGAAGGAGAAACAGAAAGAAAUAUGAAAAGUUGUGUGUGAGGAUAAAAGUUCUUCUAAAGAUGAAACACACAUUGAGCUUAUGUUACCAUGUUAUGAGCAGAAGAGUGCUAGAAAUUGGUGAAGUGGUUGAGAAAAUGGGACCAUAUUGCUAGGAAUUUGAAAAGCUGGGAUCUUGCUACAAUAUCUAUAUUUUUCCUAAGGGAACAAAUACGUGUGUGAAUGUAUGUGUGUUAUAUGCAGUGGGAGAACAGUGUGUGUCUCAAAAGAAAGAUCAUUAGCGUUUAGCCAGGUUUCAUUGCCCCAGUGCAAAUUCCUUUCCAGUAGUUUUACAACAAAAGCGAAGAAAUUGCAACAGAAUGGAGAUGUCUUGAAACAAGGGAACAAACAAGUUGUGAUGUUUGUCAUGUAGCAGAGUAGUUGAGUUCAUACCCUCCAACUGUCCCAAUUUGGUACAAACAGUCCUACUUGUAAAAUAUUUCACUUUCUCUCUCUUCCUCCCACUUUCUCCUUUGUCCUUAGGUUAUUUUUGCAAUCUGAGUUCAAAGUGCAAAUGUAGUCAGCACUCAAUUAACUCAGCAGGGGGAGAGGAGGGACAGAAUCUUUCCCUUCUCAGUAGUUUCAGGCAAACUGCUGUAACCUCUCCAAGUCUGUGUGUUCUUCCUCACUUAUAAUAUUGUCAUAUUGACCACAGUCAGAUGUUUCUUAGCCACAUGUGUCACAGUUUUAUCUGUGAAAUGCUGGCGGCUGUGAAGGUUUUUGUCUCAGAAAACAUCUUUACAAAAGCUGGUGGCCAAUAAAUGGGAGGCUAGAACAAGCAGGGUGGAGUGUUUUGGAUCUUCCACUCCCUUCCCCUGUUAAAGCUUAAUAGCUACUUGAAGAAGCCCAAUUGGCCUUCUUGCACAAGUGUUGCCUGGGCUCAUUUGAGGGAGUGGAUUCUUCAUUACCAAUUAAUCAGUGCUGGGAUAGUGCUGCCUGUUGACUUAUGGGGACCCCAUGCAUUUCAUAGGGUUUUCUUAGGCAGAGACUACUCAGGAUAUUUUCACAUGGGGAAAAUUGGAAGGUUAAACUGAUCACAAUGUAGAUUCAUUCAGGGCAUUAGGGACAAUUUUGCAAUUGCUUUUCAGAUGACGCUGCACACGAACGGGUUAGAAUCCAAACAGAAAGUGAGGUGAAUCAGGGAAUAAGCAUUUUUGCAAAAAUACCAUGUUUUCAUUUCCAGUUCAUUUAUGAAUUCACUUUCUUCACGUAACUGCAGCACCCUGAAAAACAUGUGCUGAAUUCUCCCUGUUCCCAGAUUUUCCAUAGUUCCUUUGCUGUGCUGAGGAGAGGGAGGCAGCCUUGUUCUUAAAAGGACAUACGCAAUACACACACACCUCUCUUUCCCUCACCAGGCUAGUCUCCUCCUCCUACAGCUUCUAAGGAAAGAGCUGGUGGGAGAGCAAGAGAGAGGACAUUUUGGAAUUCCUCCUGUACAGCAGGGAGAAAUGGAGGAUAUGUCCUGGAAAAGGAGGACAUCUGCAAGUUUCAGCCCUCACUGAAAUCAGGCAGGUUCAUGGACCAGCCACCUCCUUUUUCUCUCUAGUGUGUGUGUGUAUGUGUGGUUUUAUGAGAGUUUGCAAAGGGAAACCUCAGCCUUCCUUCCUCUGAAACAGCUUCUGGGGCAAAGAGGAUUUUCCUCCCUGGCUUCCCUUCCCUCUCUGGAGCAUGUGUGUGUAUGCACUUGUGGAAAUGACAGUUUGGAGCAUGUGCAAGAAAGUUAUUUCCAAUAAAAAGUUAUUUCAGUCCUUACCUGUCUGAAACUCAAAUUCGUUUUCGACCCACUUUCUUGCCUAAGUAAUGUGCUUUUAACCCUCUGUUGUGCUCUAUGUGUGAUAAUUGUUAGAAAAUUUGCUUGCUUUUCCAGGAUGCCAACACUUUAACCAUAUUUGGGAUGGAAGCACAUAAGUCACCAUGGGAUAAAGUUCUCAGAGGUGGCAUUGCCAGCUCUUUCCUCUGAAAUACAGCCCACAGCACCUAGUAUUCAUGCCGGUGUCUAAAAGUAGACCAUAACC